UCUCUCGUAGCUUAGUUGUCAAAGCAUUGGCGCGUAACGUAACGUAACGUAAGAGCCCGGGUUCGAUUCCCGGCGGGGGUG
rnacentral:tRNA from 1 species